CAAGCAAGCCAAGGACCAUAUGUUUUUUGUGUUACACUUUCAGCAUCUAAGCUUAUUAUAUUCAACACAAGGAGAAAGUCCCCGGAAAACAAAAUAUCUUCUGUCCAAUGAUUAAAGAUUAGGGCAGUGGGGUAUUUAGUAAAGCAACUUUGUUUGUUUGUUUUUUUCAUAAUAAAAGUAAUAUGGUCACCCUAUAAUAAUGGGGCAACUUAAUGGGGCUUACUCUGGCUUGUUU
rnacentral:RNase_MRP_RNA from 2 species